rnacentral:misc_RNA from 1 species
GAUGAAGAACGCAGCGAAAUGCGAUAAGUAAUGUGAAUUGCAGAAUUCAGUGAAUCAUCGAAUCUUUGAACGCACCUUGCACCCUUUGGCUAUUCCGAAGGGUAUGCCUGUUUGAGUAUCAUGAACACCUCAACUCUCAUGGUUUGCCAUGAUGAGCUUGGACUUUGGGGGUCUUGCUGGCCUGUGGUCAGCUCCUCUCAAAUGGAUUAGCUUGCCAGUGUUUGGUGGCAUCACAGGUGUGAUAACUAUCUACGCUUGUGGUUUUCCACCAGGUAACCUUCAGCAAUGGGGGUUCGCUGGGGCUCAUAAAUGUCUCUCCUCAGCGAGGACAGCUCUUUGAACGUUUGAUCUCAAAUCAGGUAGGACUACCCGCUGAACUUAAGCAUAUUCAAUAAGCGGAGGA